CACGUAGGCACCAAGCGUUGUCCGGAUUUAUUGGGCGUAAAGAGCUCGUAGGCGGUUCGAUAAGUCGGGUGUGAAAACUUUGGGCUCAACCCAAAGCGUGCAUUCGAUACUGUUGUGACUAGAGUUCGGUAGGGGAGUGGGGAAUUCCUAGUGUAGCGGUGAAAUGCGCAGAUAUUAGGAGGAACACCGGUGGCGAAGGCAGCUCUCUGGGACGGUACUGACGCUGAGACGCGAAAGCGUGGGGAGCGAACAGG
rnacentral:rRNA from 1 species